rnacentral:rRNA from 1 species
AUGGAGCUCAAUGUUCACCUUCGUGCUAUUGAUGGUGAUCCUCUCCCUGACCCGACGCGUUAUCGUCAUCUCGUUGGCAGUCUUGUCUAUCUAGCUGUCACUCGUCCGGACAUCUCUUAUCCGGUUCAUAUUCUGAGUCAGUUUGUUUCUGCUCCCACAUCGGUUCAUUAUAGUCAUCUCCUUCGUGUUCUCCGAUAUCUUCGGGGCACGAUCUCUCACCGUCUCUUCUUUCCUAGCUCCAGUUCUUUACAGCUUCAGGCCUAUGCGGAUGCUACGUGGGCUAGUGAUCCUUCUGAUCGCCGUUCGCUUUCUGCUUACUGUGUUUUUCUUGGCGGUUCUCUCAUUGCCUGGAAGACGAAGAAACAGAUUGCAGUUUCCCGUUCGAGUGCUGAGGCUGAGUUGUGA